UACGUAGGGGGCAAGCGUUGUCCGGAAUUAUUGGGCGUAAGGAGCUCGUAGGCGGCUUGUCACGUCGGAUGUGAAAGCCCGGGGCUUAACCCCGGGUCUGCAUUCGAUACGGGCAGGCUAGAGUGUGGUAGGGGAGAUCGGAAUUCCUGGUGUAGCGGUGAAAUGCGCAGAUAUCAGGAGGAACACCGGUGGCGAAGGCGGAUCUCUGGGCCAUUACUGACGCUGAGGAGCGGAAGCGUGGGGAGCGAACAGG
rnacentral:rRNA from 1 species